GACGAACGCUGGCGGCGUGCCUAAUACAUGCAAGUUGAGCGCUGAAGGUUGGUACUUGUACCAACUGGAUGAGCAGCGAACGGGUGAGUAACGCGUGGGGAAUCUGCCUUUGAGCGGGGGACAACAUUUGGAAACGAAUGCUAAUACCGCAUAAAAACUUUAAACACAAGUUUUAAGUUUGAAAGAUGCAAUUGCAUCACUCAAAGAUGAUCCCGCGUUGUAUUAGCUAGUUGGUGAGGUAAAGGCUCACCAAGGCGAUGAUACAUAGCCGACCUGAGAGGGUGAUCGGCCACAGUGGGACUGAGACACGGCCCAAACUCCUACGGGAGGCAGCAGUAGGGAAUCUUCGGCAAUAGACGAAAGUCUGACCGAGCAACGCCGCGUGAGUGAAGAAGGUUGUCGGAUCGUAAAACUCUGUUGGUAGAGAAGAACGUUGGUGAGAGUGGAAAGCUCAUCAAGUGACGGUAACUACACAGAAAGGGACGGCUAACUACGUG
rnacentral:rRNA from 1 species